CACCCCUCAAGCUCUGCUUGGUGUUGGGGAGAAAGCUCGCCCCAGUUUUGGGGCGCCCCCGAAAAUCAGCGGCGGUGCAGCCGAUAAUCUCUAGCGCAGUGACAUAGCAUUUCUCGCUACGGAUUUUUGGGCAAACACCCACGCCGAAAACUCAUUUUUUAGUA
rnacentral:misc_RNA from 1 species